UACGUAGGUGGCAAGCGUUGUCCGGAGUUAUUGGGCGUAAAGCGCGCGCAGGCGGUGCGGUAAGUCUCUGGUGAAAGCGCUCGGCUUAACUGGGCGAGGGCCGGGAAGACUGCCACGCUGGAGGGGAGCAGAGGCGAGUGGAAUUCCGGGUGUAGUGGUGAAAUGCGUAGAGAUCCGGAGGAACACCAGUGGCGAAGGCGGCUCGCUGGGCUCUACCUGACGCUGAGGCGCGAAAGCGUGGGGAGCGAACCGG
rnacentral:rRNA from 1 species